rnacentral:miRNA from 1 species
GCCAGACGUCACGUUCUUCAGA